rnacentral:rRNA from 1 species
GACGAACGCUGGCGGCGUGCUUAACACAUGCAAGUCGAACGGAAAGGCCCUGCUUUUGUGGGGUGCUCGAGUGGCGAACGGGUGAGUAACACGUGAGUAACCUGCCCUUGACUUUGGGAUAACUUCAGGAAACUGGGGCUAAUACCGGAUAGGAGCUCCUGCUGCAUGGUGGGGGUUGGAAAGUUUCGGCGGUUGGGGAUGGACUCGCGGCUUAUCAGCUUGUUGGUGGGGUAGUGGCUUACCAAGGCUUUGACGGGUAGCCGGCCUGAGAGGGUGACCGGCGACAUUGGGACUGAGAUACGGCCCAGACGCCUACGGGAGGCAGCAGGGGGGAAUAUUGCACAAUGGGCGGAAGCCUGAUACAGCAACGCCGCGUGCGGGAUGACGGCCUUCGGGUUGUGAACCGCUGUCGCAUGUGACGAAGCGGGAGUGACGGUAAUGGGUAAAGAAGCACCGGCUAACUACGUG